rnacentral:rRNA from 1 species
GACGAACGCUGGCGGCGCGCUUAACACAUGCAAGUCGAGCGAAGCGGCGGACGGGUGAGUAACACGUGAGUAACCUGCCUUAGACAUUGGGAUAGCCUCGGGAAACCGGGAUUCAUACCACAUGGUCUAAGAUGGACUCGCGUCCCAUUAGCAAGUUGGUGAGGUAAUGGCCCACCAAGGCGCCGAUGGGUAGCCGGCCUGGGAGGGUGAAAGGCCACAUUGGAACUACUGAACGGUCCAAACUCUACGGGAGGCAGCAGUGGGGAAUAUUGCACAAUGGAGGGAACUCUGAUGCAGCGACGCCGCGUGAACGAAGAAGGCUUUCGAGUCGUAAAGUUCUUUUAUAUGGAAAGCGGUACCAUAAGAAAAAGCCCCGGCUAACUACGUGCCAGCAGCCGCGGUAAUAC